rnacentral:piRNA from 1 species
UCAACUUCAGAACCAAUCAACUCCUUUAA